GACGAACGCUGGCGGCGUGCCUAAUACAUGCAAGUCGAGCGCAGGAAACUGACGGAACUCUUCGGAGGGAAGGCAGCGGAAUGAGCGGCGGACGGGUGAGUAACACGUAAGGAACCUGCCUCAAGGAUUGGGAUAACUCCGAGAAAUCGGAGCUAAUACCGGAUAGUUCAACGGACCGCAUGGUCCGCUGAUGAAAGGCGCUUCGGCGUCACCUUGAGAUGGCCUUGCGGUGCAUUAGCUAGUUGGUGGGGUAACGGCCCACCAAGGCGACGAUGCAUAGCCGACCUGAGAGGGUGAUCGGCCACACUGGGACUGAGACACGGCCCAGACUCCGACGGGAGGCAGCAGUAGGGAAUCUUCCACAAUGGACGAAAGUCUGAUGGAGCAACGCCGCGUGAGUGAUGAAGGUUUUCGGAUCGUAAAACUCUGUUGUAAGGGAAGAACACGUACGAGAGGAAAUGCUCGUACCUUGACGGUACCUUACGAGAAAGCCACGGCUAACUACGUGCCAGCAGCCGCGGUAA
rnacentral:rRNA from 1 species